GAAUGUAGUAUCCUCUUCCCUAGGACAUAUUCCACUGGCAGAUCAUGGAUGGGAACCUGACAGGAAACAUCCGGGAGUUCCUGCCCAUUGUUGGGCAUGUGCAGGUGGCACAGGUCCCAGGCCGAGGGGAGCCCAGCAGCCCCGGAGAGCUGAAUUUCCCCUAUCUGUUUCAACUGCUGGAAGAUGAAGGCUACAAAGGCUUCGUGGGCUGCGAGUAUCAGCCUCGAGGUGAGGCGUGGCCCUGGGGAAGGGAGCUCUGGAGGGACCCGGACAGGGGCUGUUUUCUCCUUGUGGGCUAAGGUGCCGAGGCCUCCCUCUCCCUGCAGGAGACACAGUAGAGGGCUUGAGUUGGCUACGUUCAUAUUGGGAUAGGCGGGGCCACCCAGAGGCUGGCCAGUGAGGGCCUGCACACCACCCACGUGCCUCCAGACAGCGAGUGGCAUCCCAUCUCCUCCUCUGCAUUAAAGAUGACCUGCUGAACAUUG
rnacentral:sRNA from 1 species